GCCAGGUGCGGUGGCUCACGCCUGUAAUCCCAGUGGCUCUGGAGGCUGAGGCAGGAGGAACGUGAGUUCAAAGCCAGCCUCGGCAACUUAGUGAGUCCCUAAGCCACUUGGAGGGACCCUGUCUCUA
rnacentral:sRNA from 1 species